rnacentral:snoRNA from 1 species
UCCCUCUCAGGGUCGCACUUGGAGAAUUUCCAGUCCUCUACCAGUCUCCACUACGGGAGGGAGAGUCAAGCAGAGGCCUGUCCAUUCCAUUCCUAGCUUGGCCAGUGGUUAGUGAGUGGAAAGCAAUCUGCUACAAGA